AAGAAAAUAUAAACAACAUAUUGAAAAAUUAACAUUAUAUUUCAUAGAAAUCUGUACGUUCCGGUUUAUUGUAAUAUAAAUUUUAUUUUAUAAAUUUUAUUUCUAUUUGUUUUUAUAAAAUAUAACACAUACAUAUACAUAUUUUAUAUAUUUUAUACUGCAUAAUAGAAUUUCUUUUCUUUUAUUUUGCGGGCAUAAUUCUCUUCAAACUUUUAAACAUAGUUUUAUACUAUAGAUAUUUACUUUAUUACAGGAUUUUCAUUUCCCCUAUAAGGGAAAUAAAAAUCUGCGUAUUGAUCGUUCGUAUUGAUGUAUCCGUUGAAUGGACACAAAGUUGUAUAUGCACAAACGCGCUGGUAACGAAAUAAAAAUUUAGUCGACAGCGUUUGCAUGGUCGGACUUGUUACGUAAAUUGCGCGAACGUUAUAAUUGUGCAAACGCGGACAAUGUUGGCCGGAUUCGAUACGAUUAAACCUGCCGCCGCGAUAACCCGCCCUCACUCAAACACACAAAUGCACUCAAUCAAAUUUACUACUGGAGAUUACAUUUCGGAACUAACAAGCCCAAGAAAAUUCAAAUCAACGCGAUGACUUUGCAACGAUUUCGCGUAAAAUGAGAUCAUAUAAUUUUCGCAUGCUAAUAUUUGAAUGUGACAUUUUUCCGUGAGGCAUAAACGAGAGAAUGCUUAACUUGUAUGAUCUACGAGAUGCUAAUAUGAUAAUAUUACAUUAACAUUUAUCAAAUGUAACAAGAGAAAGCACUUUUAUUUGUCGAGCGAUUUUCCCAUAUCCCGAAAAAGAAAAACGGACGACGAGUCAUGCUCUGGUCGUUUGAGCCACUUGUGCAAUUAAUUUUGAGAGAAUUGACAUCAAUUGGCAUUAACGAGUAUGAGUGUGCGUGCGCGCGCCUAUGCUCGUGUGGAUAGGCAUACAGAAGAGAAGGCAAUUACGGAAAAUUUACACCAAUGAGUAUUCAUCUAAAUUAUUAUUGGAUGCCAAAUUUCAAACUGUUCAUCGCUCAUUUCGGCGCAUUCUACACCUGGCGUACGGACGAAUCGGAUUACAUUACGAGCAUCGAAUAACGUUUGCAAUAAUCGCGAUCCGGGUAAUCGCGGCACGGCAGAUUUAACAAGUGCAGAAUACGCAUGAUUCGCUCUCGGCGGCUGCAACGCAAGUUAUGUUGAAUCGAUUAUCUCUAUUCCGCUUUGGCGUCCAUCUUGCCGACGAUUGAACGACCUUUGUUCUCCGUUCUCGUAACUGCCACACCGUCAGCUUGCGUCGAUUGACCAAUGCAUUCCCUUUUGUCAACCGGUUUUCCUUCGACCAAGUUCAAGAGUGAUAGGUCGAACUGCUGCUAGAUCAGUGCUUCGAUAAUAAGAAAAUCACAGCUGCAGCUGAAAACUGUCAUCUCUGAGCCGCAAAUGUAGCGAGUGUCCGCGAUAAUCGAUCUUCAAUCGGAAAAUGAUCUAUAUCUGUUCACCAAAACAAUCAAACCAAACGUCACUUUUUUAUUUAGAUACUUUAUGAUUUCUUUCAUUCAAUAGUGAUUUCUGAAAAAAGGAGUGGUUCUUUACAAUUGUUAUAUCGGACAGAUUUGAUGUUUACAACAGUUCUGAGAAAAAGUCCUCGAACUGUCUUGUCUUCAAGUGAAUUAAUCAACGUCUACGCUUCAGAGAACGAGCAGUAAGAAUACGCCGGUCGAGAGGAGACGUGUUCGCUGUACCGUUAGAUAAUCGAAAUACACAGCCGCCGCCAUAGUCGAGGUCGACAUGGGGGUAAGUCAGCUAAAAUUAAUGGUCCAAGUUUAAAGCGCCUCAUAUGAUAGUUAUAUUGCUUAUGUCGAGAUAGUAUGACAAACCAGCCUGGCAAGGCUAACGCCAUUAUUCUGUUGACUUUAACAAUAAACCACGUGUACGUGCGUGCAUAUACCUGUCGCGUGAUGUUCUCACGUUUUACGUAGAAGCAGAGAGGAGAUUAAAUUCUCUUGUUUAGAAAGUUUCAAAGUAAAACAGUUUUUCGGUAGACUCGUUACGUCUUGAUAACGCUCCUGAUUUUAUAGUGUAUCAUAGAGAAAUGAAUAAUAAUAAUUAUUAAUAACGAGUAAUAAUGAUAACGAUCAUAACGAGAAUAUUAUAAUGCAUUCUAUUAUACUCUAAUUCGAAUUUAUGAUAUAAUUGGCCUCAAUCGAGAUACCUCAAUAAUGGACACGCCUCGCUUACUUUUCUGCGUCAGGGAAUUGUCCUGAACGGAAAUUACGAUUUACUUUCGCGAGCCUCGAUGCUCGUUACAAGCAAAAAUUGGGUCUUAGAAAGCCAGCUAACGAUGCAGAGCGCGUUCGAUUGCGCUUUUUCCAUUUUGAAUAUAAUGUCUUGUUUGCGUGCGCUGAGACUCGAUGAGAGAACAGGCGGAUGAAGUGGCGUGAAUUUCAGAAAGCACUCCGGCAAGGCGAUGAUAAAUAAAACCUGUUUACCCACCCCUCUCUCCCUAUCCCCGAGGGAUGAAUAUCGGGAAAUCAUAGACCUGUCGAUACCGACGUGGUGCAACACGCUACAACGUGGCGACGUCAAAUGGGAAUCCAUAGACUGGAAACGAGCCGUCACGCAAUGCACGCAUCUGCGUCCGCACCGUAUCACACAAAUGCGAGAAUAAAAUGCGCGAAAACCAUUUUCUCACGUACAGCAAUUAUUUCCACGCGCGAUAUGAUCGGAGAAACUAGUAUCACGUCUUUGCCGCGCAUAAAAGAUUAAUUGCCGACGAACUGAAUAAGUAUAUAUAAUGCGUUGAACAUUAUUAUAUGAUUAUACAAAUAAGGAGAAAAUGGCCGUCACGCUCUCGUAUCUUCGUGCAUCGCUCGGAUUUUCCUUUCGUUUUUUCUUUGCACAAUACGCAAAUAAAUCUUGCCACAAGGCUUGUUUCCGCUGAUUAAUUGCCAUAAAUUCGAUAUUAUUAUCAUUAUCAUCUUUAUUCUGGUAAUAAUACAUUUAAAAUCGCGUGGAAUCUUUUCGUCUGUGUUUACAAUUUUCUUUUUCGCAGAAUGAAUAAUUGAUCGUUAACAGUGACCAAAAAUUAUGAAACGUCACAUCAGUGAGAUAUAUUUGAUGAACACUUUAAAGUAUCGUUAUUUCAUACCCUAUUUUAUUCACGACGAUUUUAUUCGCUUGUUUGUGAAUGCCGCACAAAUAGAGCGCAGCGAAAUUCAUAUUUAUUCGGCCGUUACCGUUGUGCGGAAAAUCCUGUGUUUUCGUGACGCUUUCCUAGUGAUAACUUGGCCACAUGACUAGCCGGUCAAAUGCAUUUCCGAUCGCCAAUGUGAUUCGUUUCACUCCCGCGCAUCCCGGAUUUAUGAGUCUUGCGCUAGCGAAAUUGCGCGCGCGCUCACGAUUGUAUCGCGUCGAGUGCUGAAUAAGUCAUACAUGCGCGAGAGAACUCUUCGCAACGAACAAUAUCGGUGCACUCUCGCCGCGUGCUCGUCGAGAGCUCUAUUUCGCAGCACGAUCUCUCUUGAAAUUUAUCACCAAUCGUGACAAUAAACUUCUUCGUUACGUGUAUUGAGGAAAAAUUUUCUUGAAGAAAAAAAA